AUGCUUGUUGCCUUGGCCACUUGGAUGAUCUGGAAACACCGCAACACAUGCAUCAUUAACGGCGACACUCCUUCACAUACCCGCCUGGUUACCGCAAUACAGGAGGAAGCUCGUACCUGGGCUAGAGCAGGUGCCAGAGGGCUAAGCAUAAUCAUCCAUGUAACCUGA
rnacentral:rRNA from 1 species